rnacentral:lncRNA from 1 species
CGCGGUGGCUUCAGAAUGACCCUCUCUCAAUCUGCGAAGCUCGCCUUCCAUCUUCUUUGACUUUUUUGUCAAGUGAAGGACUUCCUUCUUCAGCCGCUGGAUUGUCAACUUCAGCAGAAUCCCCAGGGGUAGGGAAAGUGCUUCAGCAGGGCACUACCAUUGGAAGGCAAAAGCGUCAAGACACGCCUCAUCGCAAAAAGAAAAGCAGAGAGAAGAAAGGAAGGAGGGAGAGGCCACCCAUGACAAGAAAUUCAACUUUAUUGAUUGGAUGAUUCUUGAAGAUAAAAAGGAAAAGAAAAAUUAUGGUAAAAUAAAAAUACAAGGUCGGAGGUCUCAGACCUCAGGGGCAGGAGUUGGAGAGCUCGGCAUUCCUGGAAGGAGGGCUGCGACAGCAGUGGUAGCGGGAGAGGGACCGGCCUUGUCUUCAGACUCCUCACCCAGGAAGCUGAGGUCGAGCUCCAAAAAUUUCCUGACCACCUUCUCCUGGCAGAGCUCG